AUGUGGAGCCGUAGCGAAAGCGAGUCUGAAUAGGGCGUUUAGUAUUUGGUCGUAGACCCGAAACCAGGUGAUCUACCCUUGGUCAGGUUGAAGUUCAGGUAACACUGAAUGGAGGACCGAACCGACUUACGUUGAAAAGUGAGCGGAUGAACUGAGGGUAGCGGAGAAAUUCCAAUCGAACCUGGAGAUAGCUGGUUCUCUCCGAAAUAGCUUUAGGGCUAGCCUCAAGUGAUGAUUAUUGGAGGUAGAGCACUGUUUGGACGAGGGGCCCCUCUCGGGUUACCGAAUUCAGACAAACUCCGAAUGCCAAUUAAUUUAACUUGGGAGUCAGAACAUGGGUGAUAAGGUCCGUGUUCGAAAGGGAAACAGCCCAGACCACCAGCUAAGGUCCCAAAAUAUAUGUUAAGUGGAAAAGGAUGUGGCGUUGCCCAGACAACUAGGAUGUUGGCUUAGAAGCAGCCAUCAUUUAAAGAGUGCGUAAUAGCUCACUAGUCGAGUGACACUGCGCCGAAAAUGUACCGGGGCUAAACAUAUUACCGAAGCUGUGGAUUGUCCUUUGGACAAUGGUAGGAGAGCGUUCUAAGGGCGUUGAAGCAUGAUCGUAAGGACAUGUGGAGCGCUUAGAAGUGAGAAUGCCGGUGUGAGUAGCGAAAGACGGGUGAGAAUCCCGUCCACCGAUUGACUAAGGUUUCCAGAGGAAGGCUCGUCCGCUCUGGGUUAGUCGGGUCCUAAGCUGAGGCCGACAGGCGUAGGCGAUGGAUAACAGGUUGAUAUUCCUGUACCACCUAUA
rnacentral:rRNA from 1 species